rnacentral:tRNA from 2 species
UAGCUCAGCUGGUUAGAGCACAUCACUCAUAAUGAUGGGGUCACAGGUUCGAAUCCCGUCGUAGCCACCA